rnacentral:rRNA from 1 species
CUACGGUGAAUACGUUCCCGGACCUUGUACACACCGCCCGUCAAGCCAUGGAAGCUGGGUGUACCUAAAGUCGAUAACCGUAAGGAGUCGCCUAGGUAAACUAGUAACUGGGGCU